ACGACUUUUGAGUCCGGUUAUGUUGAUGGUACUGGCAACUCGGCGUCAGCCCUGGUUCUUCCCGAAGCUCAGAAAACUCGGAAACAUGACAGGGUGUGGACGCUAAAUCGUGCACUGACUGCAACAAAAUUUUAAGCCAUCAUGGAUCCUGAACCAGGUUGAUCAGGAAUGACAACAACCAGUUUUUAUAAGGAUGCAAAAGGAUAUAGGCAACUAGAUAUGCAUCAAUAUUUGUGCGUACGUGAUACAGAAGAUAUUGUUGAAUAUGCUGUGGAUGAGGUGGAUGAUACUUGCUCACCAUAUGAGUCUAAGAAAGGUACAUAAGUUAUUUACGAAAUAAUGUUCAAUAAAACUAGCCACAAUAUUCAUCUAAAAAAA